UACGGAGGAUGCAAGCGUUAUCCGGAUUCACUGGGUUUAAAGGGUGCGUAGGCGGGCAGGUAAGUCAGUGGUGAAAUCUCCGAGCUUAACUCGGAAACUGCCGUUGAUACUAUUUGUCUUGAAUAUUGUGGAGGUAAGCGGAAUAUGUCAUGUAGCGGUGAAAUGCUUAGAUAUGACAUAGAACACCAAUUGCGAAGGCAGCUUACUACACAACGAUUGACGCUGAGGCACGAAAGCGUGGGGAUCAAACAGG
rnacentral:rRNA from 1 species